GAACCCCCAUCGGCGGCGGCGGCGAGCCCCGACGCGGCGGCGCUAGUAGUUUUACAACCACCGGCACCGCCUUAUCCACCGUACGCACACUAUGACGGCGCAACGACACUGGCGAGCGAGUACGCGUACGCGGCGCCGUACUCGCAAUACUCGCCGUACCCCGCCCCGUACUCGCACACCACCGGCCUGCUCACCAAGUGAUAUCAACGUACGCCGUGCGAGCAAUAGCGGUGGGCAAGUGAUAACAGACACUGAUAACGUGUAUAAAACAAUUGUCAACAUGUCCAUAUCUGUCAAUCUGUCAUGUGUAGCAGUGUUAACGUUUUUCUGGUAACAUGGUCUCUAAGAGAUUUAUAACUUCGUCUUUU